rnacentral:pre_miRNA from 1 species
GAGGUACUCCCUCCAUUCCGAAUUACUUGUCGCGGGUAUGGAUGUAUCUAGAUGUAUUUUAGUUCUAGAUACAUCCAUUUUUGUGACGAGUAAUUUGGAACGGAGGGAGUAGUAU